rnacentral:rRNA from 1 species
GACAGAGGUCCCGAGCGUUAGGCGGAAUCACUGGGCUUAAAGCGUGUGUAGGCGGCGGCCUAAGUACCUUGUGAAAUCCCACGGCUCACCCGUGGAACUGCUCGGUAUACUGGGUCGCUUGAGCCACUUAGGGGCUACCGGAACAAAUGGUGGAGCGGUGAAAUGCGUAGAUAUCAUUUGGAACGCCAAUGGUGAAAACAGGUAGCUGGGAGUGUGCUGACGCUGAGACACGAAAGCCAGGGGAGCAAACGGGG